rnacentral:lncRNA from 1 species
UCAAAUAAUGGUGGAUUUUUUUUAUUAAUUGCUCACUUAUUUGUUAGGGGAUCAUUUUUAUUAUUUGUCUCAGAUUUCUAAAAAGUCAGGAUCGACCCUGAUUGUAACAAUCAAAGCACAAUACAUAUUUCUAUAUAUCCAAUUUUUGACAAAUGAACAAAGGACAUCGAUAUGAAUUGUCGUGUCAUUUGAGACAUUUUUUUACAAUGUUGUCUAAACUAGGGAUUUAAUAUUG